UCGGAUCGUUUUAGAAACAUCAGUGGCCAACAGAUCGCCAGAUCGUUGAGCUGCAUUGGCGGGAUUUCGCCGUCUUCGUUUCUCUUUCUUCGCGGACGAACACGCGCUGGGCCUGCAACGGCAGGAUCCAGGGUCCUUAACGGGAUGUGCGUUAGGGGCUUGUAGCUCAGUUGGUUAGAGCGCGCGCUUGAUAAGCGUGAGGUCGGAAGUUCAAGUCUUCCCAGGCCCACCACUUUCAUCGAGUGAGCAUUCGUCUUCUGGUUACGGGGCCAUAGCUCAGCUGGGAGAGCGCGUGCUUUGCAAGCAUGAGGUCGUCGGUUCGAUCCCGUCUGGCUCCACCAGAUGGUUUGAUCACCGAGAUCUUGACCGUCGUCCGCGAAACAUCACUUCGCAUCCUGCUAGUCUGGAUAGACAGCAGUUUGCGUGUUUUCUGACAUCGUAAAGAGGAGAUCGAUCCGAGUUGGGUCGUGCAGCAUAUCGUUGCGCGAGCCUUCAUUAUCUCCGGAUCAUUUCGGCGCUCGCUUCCAGCCGUGAGGUUGGAUGCGGGUUGUAAAUGAUCCUUUUAGCGAAGCUUGACCGCCUCGCUAUCGGAACGAUCUUACGAAGCAAGCUGGUCUUUCUAGUCAAUGUCCGGCUGCGGAUAGCGUUCAUCGAGGGCGCGUGCCGCAAGGCAAUUCUGCAGACAACAUUCUGCCGAGUGUGUGGACAUUGAUAAUGAGAGCAAUCAAGUGCCUUAAGGGUGUUCGGUGGAUGCCUUGGCGCUGAGAGGCGAUGAAGGACGUGCUACGCUGCGAUAAGCCGUGGGGAGCUGCGAAGAAGCUUUGAUC
rnacentral:misc_RNA from 1 species